rnacentral:rRNA from 1 species
AACGAACGCUGGCGGCAUGCCUAACACGUGCAAGUCGAACGAGACCUUCGGGUCUAGUGGCGCACGGGUGCGUAACGCGUGGGAACCUGCCCUUAGGUUCGGAAUAACUCCCCGAAAGGGGUGCUAAUACCGGAUAAUGUCUUCGGACCAAAGAUUUAUCGCCUUUGGAUGGGCCCGCGUUGGAUUAGCUAGUUGGUAGGGUAAAAGCCUACCAAGGCGACGAUCCAUAGCUGGUCUGAGAGGAUGAUCAGCCACACUGGGACUGAGACACGGCCCAGACUCCUACGGGAGGCAGCAGUGGGGAAUAUUGGACAAUGGGCGAAAGCCUGAUCCAGCAAGGCCGCGGGAGUGAUGAAGGCCUUAGGGUUGUAAAGCUCUUUUACCCGGGAUGAUAAUGACAGUACCGGGAGAAUAAGCUCCGGCUAACUCCGU